CUCAGGGUGAUAUUCCUUCUUAAAUGUCUUCUUCAAAAUACUUCUGAUGCUGUUAAACUGAUAAAAAUCAAAUCAGUCUUCUGGAGGACUUAGUAGUGCCUUUUAUUUAUUUAUUUUUAUUUUAUUUUAUUUUUUUCAGAAGCAGAAGUAGAGAUGUAAUACUGCUGCAAAGAGAACGACUUCCCCCCAGGAGGUAUCUGGCAAAUGGACCUCUCUGACAUGACUUGCACACAGUUGCACCAAAGCUCCAGCUGCUCAACACAGGCUUGGAGGACAAUUGGUGGCAGCUGGUCGAUGCUGCUAUGAACCCUACCAGCACCCUGGAAGGCUCCUGGCAGUUCACGGGAGAAAUGGAUUGUUCCUACCUAAUUAUCUUGGAAAAUGGCAAAAAAAUAAGGAAGCAAAGAAAAUGGAGCUUGAAAAUUUUCAAAGAAGGGAAUGGUCUUUAUCCCUGAUUAUCUUCGUGUGUCCAUGGGUUUGGGAACCUGGAUCUCUCAAAAGUAGGAAGAUUAACAGAAUACAUGUUUUUCCCUUUGUCAUCAUCUGUAGAGUUAGUUCUGUUAGGAGAAGUAAUCCAGUAAGAGCAGUAAUCCAAAACAGUUCGAUUAAUGAUGGAUUCUCGGUAUUUAUACAAUAUUUCUGGUUCACUAUAUUUUACUCAUCAGCCUGUGCUCCUUUAAGAGCCAUCAGAAAUCUUCCCAGUGCUAUUAAGUGCCUACUUUUGAAUUUGUACUUAUGUCUUAGUGAAGAGAUAAAAAAAAAAAAAAGGAUCCUAUUAAUUUGUCUAGACUGUUCUAAUGUAAAACGAAUGAUUUGAGUGAAAAUGAAGCUGUCUCACCAAAUGAGUUUUUAUCCAUUUUCAGCUAAUACCAAAAGCUAAAUAUGAACCUCAGUGCUCAGGGACUCUGUGAUUUGUGACUCUGAGUCUGUAAGCCAACAAAUGGAUUAAAAUGAAAUAUAAAUAUUGAGAAUCACAGGAGUCACUUUAUCCAUUAGGAAAAGAACAUCUUUGUUACUAUCCAUAGUGGAAAAAGCUUGACUUCUGAUCAUCCUGCUGCUAGUAUCUCUGGUGUCUUCAGAAGAGCAUCCCUGUGAACAGAGUCAGACCCUUGGAGAAAUGUGAGGGAUUGCCUCAAAAUGCAAUGCUCUUUAAUUCUUCUGCUCUUCUGUGGUUUGUUUUGUUUGUUUGUUUGCUUAGGUUUGUUUUAUUUUGUUUUUCCUCUCUUCAAGAUAUUCUCAACUCAUCUGCCUAUGAUGACUGCAACUGUGAUAAUGUUCUGUAAAACACAGAGGUCCCUAAUCAUUUAGAUCUUGACUUAGGUUUGCUUAUCAAGGCCAAGACAUUAAACUCAUCCCCCUCCCCCAAACAAAACAAACAGACAAACAAACAAACAAAAACAGGCACAGCUAAUUUUUGAUAUGUUUGUGUUUGGUGUCCUAGUAAGAUUCUUUGGUUUGAAAGGGAAUUGUCCCUUUUUUCAGUAAUUAGGUCCCAAGAUGAUUCACACCAUUCUGUUUUGCAGAAUACAUUGCAUUAUUACCACUUGGAAGACAGCAAAGCCCUGCACUAUGGACAGAGUCCUCUAAGCAAAUGGAAAUGCUUGCAUUUUUCUGGAUGGAGCCGCUGAACAGAGCUUUCUCUGACAGUACCACGGAGCACUUCAUUGCCUAGGAAUUGAUAGGACAAAACUUUUUACCUUCAUUAAGACGAUCUCUGCUUCUAAAGCCUUAUUUUUUACUUGUGAAGCAAUGUCUUUCCAUCAGAACAAGGGAGCACUGAACAACACAGAAACAACACAACAGACUUAUUCAAGAAGAUGUCUCCAGACACCCUUUAGACAGGGAUUGCUCGUCGCAACCAAAUUCAGUACAAGCAGUGUGAUUGUUUUCAUCUCAGAGGGGCAAAGGUCUCUUACCUGUGACUAUGAUGCAUGCUUCAGAGAAGGGAGGGAGAUUAGACAUGCCCUUGCUAAUUCCAUUCCUAUUGCCUAGCUCAAGGCAGCCCUUAACCAGUUUGUACAUUGCACUUCAGUGGCAUCAAACUCUCCCUGCUGAUGAGAGGAAGAGGCUGAGGACCUCCUCCAGAUUCUCUGAGUCACUUUGAUUUCCCAGGCUGUAGUUGCCAAGUAAAUACCCUGUUGAUGAACAGAAAGAAAAGCUGGUAACCCAAUGAAAAUGGGAUUCCUUUGCUCUGCAUUACCCCCAAAGAGUUUUAUGACCAGGAAGCAAAGUAUGGUCCUGGUGUGGAUUCAAAUAAUAGGUCUUUAGAAAAUUCACUGUAGUGAUUAACGUCAGUAGAAUCCCUUUGUAUGAAAGGAGGGGAAGAGAUGUCAUCCUGGGGGUUUCUGGAUUUUCCACACAUCCCAGUCACAACUGAGACAUAGAGAGACUUAGUGCCCUUAGAGAGGACACUCCCAAACUACAUGGCAUUGUAAGCUGGAAAGGAGGAGGAAUAAAUAAAUAAACAAACCUACA
rnacentral:lncRNA from 1 species